rnacentral:sRNA from 1 species
UGAUCCCGUCAUAAAUUAGCUUUCUGCCCUUUUGCGUCCGUUUUCUCCACGUAUGUGGAGG